rnacentral:rRNA from 1 species
CUCUAAUACUGUAGGACUAGAGAGUAGAUGCGGUAGGCGGAAUGUAUGGUGUAGCGGUGAAAUGCGUAGAGAUCAUACAGAACACCGAUUGCGAAGGCAGCUUACCAAACUAUAUCUGACGUUGAGGCACGAAAGCGUGGGUAGCAAACAGGAUUAGAUACCCUGGUAGUCCACGCAGUAAACGAUGAUAGCUCGUUGUCGGCGAUACACAGUCGGUGACUUAGAGAAAUCGACAAGCUAUCCACCUGGGGAGUACGUUCGCAAGAAUGAAACUCAAAGGAAUUGACGGGGGCCCGCACAAGCGGAGGAACAUGUGGUUUAAUUCGAUGAUACGCGAGGAACCUUACCCGGGCUUGAAAGUUAGUGACGGAUCUGGAAACAGGUCUUCCCUUCGGGGCACGAAACUAGGUGCUGCAUGGUUGUCGUCAGCUCGUGCCGUGAGGUGUCGGGUUAAGUCCCAUAACGAGCGCAACCCUUGCUGUUAGUUGCCAUCAGGUCAAGCUGGGCACUCUAACGGGACUGCCUCUGUAAGGAGGAGGAAGGUGAGGAUGACGUCAAAUCAGCACGGCCCUUACGUCCGGGGCGACACACGUGUUACAAUGGUAGGUACAGAGGGCAGCCACCCAGCGAUGGGGCGCAAAUCUCGAAAGCCUAUCUCAGUUCGGAUUGGAGGCUGAAACUCGCCUCCAUGAAGUUGGAUUCGCUAGUAAUCGCGCAUCAGCCAUGGCGCGGUGAAUACGUUCCCGGGCCUUGUACACAC